CACGUAGGGCGCAAGCGUUGUCCGGAAUUAUUGGGCGUAAAGAGCUCGUAGGUGGUUUGUUACGUCCGCUGUGAAAUCCUAGGGCUUAACCCUGGGCUUGCAGUGGAUACGGGCAGACUAGAGGUAGGUAGGGGAGAAUGGAAUUCCUGGUGUAGCGGUGAAAUGCGCAGAUAUCAGGAGGAACACCGGUGGCGAAGGCGGUUGCCUGGAGCUUUGCUGACGCUGAGGCGCGAAAGCGUGGGGAGCGAUCCGG
rnacentral:rRNA from 1 species